rnacentral:tRNA from 1 species
GGAGAGGUGGCCGAGUGGUUUAAGGCGCAGUCCUGGAAAGACUGUUUGUCAACAAAAUGAUAACUAGGGUUCGAAUCCCUAUCUCUCCG